rnacentral:rRNA from 1 species
AUACGGAGGGGGCUAGCGUUGUUCGGAAUUACUGGGCGUAAAGCGCGCGUAGGCGGUCCGCGUAGUCAGGCGUGAAAGCCCCGGGCUCAACCUGGGAACUGCGUUUGAUACUGGCGGACUAGAGUCCGUGAGAGGGUAGUGGAAUUCCCAGUGUAGAGGUGAAAUUCGUAGAUAUUGGGAAGAACACCAGUGGCGAAGGCGGCUACCUGGACCGGUACUGACGCUGAGGUGCGAAAGCGUGGGGAGCAAACAGAAUUAGAUACCCCGGUAGUCC